UACGAAGGGGGCUAGCGUUGUUCGGAAUUACUGGGCGUAAAGGGCGCGUAGGCGGCUUCGAUAGUUGGGCGUGAAAUGCCUGGGCUCAACCCAGGAAUUGCGCUCAAUACUGUGAGGCUUGAGUGUGGGAGAGGAUAGUGGAAUUCCCAGUGUAGAGGUGAAAUUCGUAGAUAUUGGGAAGAACACCAGCGGCGAAGGCGGCUAUCUGGACCACAACUGACGCUGAGGCGCGAAAGCGUGGGGAGCAAACAGG
rnacentral:rRNA from 1 species